CGGGAAAAGCUCAAAUUUAAAAUCUGGUGGUCUUAUGGCUAUCCGAAUUGUAAUUUAGAGAAGUGAUAUCCGCGUUGGACCGUGUAUAAGUUUCCUGGAAUGGAACGUCAUAGAGGGUGAGAAUCCCGUCUUUGACACGGACUACCAAGGCUUUGUGAUACGCUCUCGAA
rnacentral:rRNA from 1 species